UUGAAAGUGAGUCUUGGUUGUAUAGUUGCUGGCCUUUUAACUGAGGCACUGUGCACGUACUCUGGGGCGUAACUCUUCAUCCACCUGUGCACUUUUUGUAGAAGUUCUUUGAUGUUGGCUUAUAGGUCUUCGACCUUGUAGUUGAUUCAAAAGGCUUCUAUGUUUUACAAACUAGUUAAGCAUGUUUAGAAUGUUUUUUUACUGGGACUUCGUUGACCCUUUAAAGUUAUA
rnacentral:misc_RNA from 1 species